CGGACGGUAGCACAGAGAGCUUGCUCUUGGGUGACGAGUGGCGGACGGGUGAGUAAUGUCUGGGGAUCUGCCCGAUAGAGGGGGAUAACCACUGGAAACGGUGGCUAAUACCGCAUAACGUCGCAAGACCAAAGAGGGGGACCUUCGGGCCUCUCACUAUCGGAUGAACCCAGAUGGGAUUAGCUAGUAGGCGGGGUAAUGGCCCACCUAGGCGACGAUCCCUAGCUGGUCUGAGAGGAUGACCAGCCACACUGGAACUGAGACACGGUCCAGACUCCUACGGGAGGCAGCAGUGGGGAAUAUUGCACAAUGGGCGCAAGCCUGAUGCAGCCAUGCCGCGUGUAUGAAGAAGGCCUUCGGGUUGUAAAGUACUUUCAGCGGGGAGGAAGGCGACGGGGUUAAUAACCCUGUCGAUUGACGUUACCCGCAGAAGAAGCACCGGCUAACUCCGUGCCAGCAGCCGCGGUAAUACGGAGGGUGCAAGCGUUAAUCGGAAUUACUGGGCGUAAAGCGCACGCAGGCGGUCUGUUAAGUCAGAUGUGAAAUCCCCGGGCUUAACCUGGGAACUGCAUUUGAAACUGGCAGGCUUGAGUCUUGUANAGGGGGGUAGAAUUCCAGGUGUAGCGGUGAAAUGCGUAGAGAUCUGGANGAAUACCGGUGGCGAAGGCGGCCCCCUGNU
rnacentral:rRNA from 1 species